CGGGGUGAGUAAUGUCUGGGAAACUGCCUGAUGGAGGGGGAUAACUACUGGAAACGGUAGCUAAUACCGCAUAACGUCGCAAGACCAAAGAGGGGGACCUUCGGGCCUCAUGCCAUAAGAUGUGCCCAGAUGGGAUUAGCUAGUAGGUGGGGUAACGGCUCACCUAGGCGACGAUCCCUAGCUGGUCUGAGAGGAUGACCAGCCACACUGGAACUGAGACACGGUCCAG
rnacentral:rRNA from 1 species